AUACGCAGGUGACAAGCGUUAUCCGGAUUUACUGGGCGUAAAGGGCGUGUAGGCGGUCUUGCAAGUCAGAAGUGAAAUUCCUGAGCUCAACUCGGGCGCUGCUUCUGAAACUGCAGGACUUGAGUGCUGGAGGGGAUAGCGGAAUUCCUAGUGGAGCGGUAAAAUGCGCAGAUAUUAGGAAGAACACCGGUGGCGAAGGCGGCUAUCUGGACAGUAACUGACGCUGAGGCGCGAAAGCGUGGGGAGAAAACAGGAUUAGAUCCCCUGGUAGUCCACGCCGUAAACGAUGAAUACUAGGUGUAGGGGGUAUCGACUCCCUCUGUGCCGCAGUUAACACAAUAAGUAUUCCGCCUGGGGAGUACGGCCGCAAGGUUGAAACUCAAAUGAAUUGACGGGG
rnacentral:rRNA from 1 species